UUCUUGUAAGGCAGGCCUGGUGGUGGCGAAAUCUCUCAAUUGCUUCUCCAUAAAGGAUUUUCUUUCUCCUUGCUUAUGAAGCUUAGUUUGGCUGGAUAUGAAAUUCUGGGUUAAAAAUUAUUUUCUUCAAGAAUGUUGAGUAUUGGCC